AACUCCUUCCAUGGUGUUGGCUGCAGUUUGUAAAGCUUGAUCUGAAUAAAACUGGAUCCAUUCUCUCAUAAAUGAAAAGAAAAUGGUUAUAUAUUUAUAUAUACUUACACUUCGAAUUCUAAAUGCAUCGAAGUAAGCCAUUAAUGCCAACAAAAAUUUGAUAUACUUUCCAUGAAGGUUCUUCGAUAUGUAUAUAUAAACAUAUAUAUAUAUAUAUAUGAAUAUAUAAACAAAAUAAGAGGAGACAGUAAUUUUUGGGACAGAAGAUUUUCGUUCAUUCCAAUCCAAUUUGGGUUUUGGGGUUUCAAUUUUGCCAUUUGAUAUAAAGAUUUUGGGGCUUUUGAGUUUCAAUUCAAUGCAUUUGAUCUGAUUUCCCGAUCGAUUCAUCUGUAAGUGAUUCAACUGACCAUGGACCAUGUCGAGCUCUCCACUGAACAGGUUCUGAAAAGGGACAUCCCAUGGGAAACCUACAUGACCACUAAGCUCAUCACCAUAACAAAUCAGAGAGUUACAGAGCCCAAUUGCUCGAUGAUGUACUGGCAUUGAUUGAUGAAAUGACAAUUCACUUUCAGAUUGCUCUGUAAUGGUAAUUGGUUUGCACAAGAGAAGAGCUGUAAGAUACUUGUUUCCAUAGUGAGUGCAAGGCCAAAAUCUCAGGAUAACAUUACUGCAAAUGGGGGAGCCUCAAAUUCGAAGAAAACAUCAACUACUAUCAAUGAUGUGCCGAAAGGCUUGGUUGGAUGGCUUUGUGCACAGGUAUAAAAUAGAAUCUUAGGCACCUUGCUAUAAGCUAGAUAUAUGAUCUGACCCAAUAUCUGACUGAAUAUUACUGGUCGAACUGGAACUGAAACUACCAAGAUGUAAUGUCUGCCAACUUGACUGCAUCUUGAACCCUAAGUCGAGUACCCUGUUGUUUAACUAUAGUUGCAGCUAUUCGAGCAGCCAGGCUACACAUUCCUCUCAAGUCCGACAUCCCUCGUAGCAGACUAUACAAAACACCAGACACAUAUGCAUCGCCUGCACCACAAGUGUCCACCAUCGGUGACUGAGACUAGGGGUAAUAAAUGGCUUAGAUACCUUGCAGCUACAACCGGACUUUCCUCUGAAGAAAAAUCACAUAAAGCUCUAGCUUCAUCACUAUUUGCAAAUAUGGUGUCUGAGUAGUUGCCAACGAUUUCCCUGACCGAAUUAAUCCAACAAAAAGAGACAUCUGAUGCUGUGACUGCAACCAGGGAACCACUCCGGUAUGCUUGCUCGCAUGCUUUCUUUUAUCCUUCAACUACAAGUAUCUUUGUAUUGGAAACUAUCUUAGCUAUGCAUGGAUCGAAAUUAAUGGUU